rnacentral:rRNA from 1 species
AGUGAACGCUGGCGGUAGGCCUAACACAUGCAAGUCGAACGGCAGCACAGUAAGAGCUUGCUCUUACGGGUGGCGAGUGGCGGACGGGUGAGGAAUACAUCGGAAUCUACUUUUUCGUGGGGGAUAACGUAGGGAAACUUACGCUAAUACCGCAUACGACCUACGGGUGAAAGCAGGGGAUCUUCGGACCUUGCGCGAUUGAAUGAGCCGAUGUCGGAUUAGCUAGUUGGCGGGGUAAAGGCCCACCAAGGCGACGAUCCGUAGCUGGUCUGAGAGGAUGAUCAGCCACACUGGAACUGAGACACGGUCCAGACUCCUACGGGAGGCAGCAGUGGGGAAUAUUGGACAAUGGGCGCAAGCCUGAUCCAGCCAGACCGCGUGGGUGAAGAAGGCCUUCGGGUUGUAAAGCCCUUUUGUUGGGAAAGAAAAGCAGCAGGUUAAUACCCCGCUGUUCUGACGGUACCCGAAGAAUAAGCACCGGCUAACUUCGUG